rnacentral:rRNA from 1 species
CCCUUAGAUGUUCUGGGCCGCACGCGCGCUACACUGAUGAAUUCAACGAGCACUAACCUGUGCAGAAAUGUUCGGGUAAUCUUGUGAAAUUUCAUCGUGAUGGGGAUUGAUUAUUGCAAUUAUUAAUCAUAAACGAGGAAUGCCUAGUAAGCGUGAGUCAUCAGCUCACGUUGAUUACGUCCCUGCCCUUUGUACACACCGCCCGUCGCUACUACCGAUUGAACGGUUUAGUGAGGGCCUCGGAUUGGUCUCGGCCCGCUCUUUACCGGGCGGCGCCGUUGGUCGAGAAGACGCUCGAACUUGAUCGUUUAGAGGAAGUAAAAGUCGUAACA